rnacentral:rRNA from 1 species
GAGUUUGAUCAUGGCUCAGAUUGAACGCUGGCGGCAGGCCUAACACAUGCAAGUCGGGCGGUAGAGAGAAGCUUGCUUCUCUUGAGAGCGGCGGACGGGUGAGUAAUGCCUAGGAAUCUGCCUGGUAGUGGGGGAUAACGCUCGGAAACGGACGCUAAUACCGCAUACGUCCUACGGGAGAAAGCAGGGGACCUUCGGGCCUUGCGCUAUCAGAUGAGCCUAGGUCGGAUUAGCUAGUUGGUGAGGUAAUGGCUCACCAAGGCGACGAUCCGUAACUGGUCUGAGAGGAUGACCAGUCACACUGGAACUGAGACACGGUCCAGACUCCUACGGGAGGCAGCAGUGGGGAAUAUUGGACAAUGGGCGAAAGCCUGAUCCAGCCAUGCCGCGUGUGUGAAGAAGGUCUUCGGAUUGUAAAGCACUUUAAGUUGGGAGGAAGGGCAGUAAAUUAAUACUUUGCUGUUUUGACGUUUACCGACAGAAUAAGCACCGGCUAACUCUGUGCCAGCAG